AGAGUUUGAUCAUGGCUCAGGACGAGCGCUGGCGGCGUGCCUAAUACAUGCAAGUCGAGCGAGCUUGCCUAGAUGAUUUUAGUGCUUGCACUAAAUGAAACUAGAUACAAGCGAGCGGCGGACGGGUGAGUAACACGUGGGUAACCUGCCCAAGAGACUGGGAUAACACCUGGAAACAGAUGCUAAUACCGGAUAACAACACUAGACGCAUGUCUAGAGUUUGAAAGAUGGUUCUGCUAUCACUCUUGGAUGGACCUGCGGUGCAUUAGCUAGUUGGUAAGGUAACGGCUUACCAAGGCAAUGAUGCAUAGCCGAGUUGAGAGACUGAUCGGCCACAUUGGGACUGAGACACGGCCCAAACUCCUACGGGAGGCAGCAGUAGGGAAUCUUCCACAAUGGACGAAAGUCUGAUGGAGCAACGCCGCGUGAGUGAAGAAGGGUUUCGGCUCGUAAAGCUCUGUUGGUAGUGAAGAAAGAUAGAGGUAGUAACUGGCCUUUAUUUGACGGUAAUUACUUAGAAAGUCACGGCUAACUACGUGCCAGCAGCCGCGGUAAUACGUAGGUGGCAAGCGUUGUCCGGAUUUAUUGGGCGUAAAGCGAGUGCAGGCGGUUCAAUAAGUCUGAUGUGAAAGCCUUCGGCUCAACCGGAGAAUUGCAUCAGAAACUGUUGAACUUGAGUGCAGAAGAGGAGAGUGGAACUCCAUGUGUAGCGGUGGAAUGCGUAGAUAUAUGGAAGAACACCAGUGGCGAAGGCGGCUCUCUGGUCUGCAACUGACGCUGAGGCUCGAAAGCAUGGGUAGCGAACAGGAUUAGAUACCCUGGUAGUCCAUGCCGUAAACGAUGAGUGCUAAGUGUUGGGAGGUUUCCGCCUCUCAGUGCUGCAGCU
rnacentral:rRNA from 1 species